UGUCGGGGAAAAGUAUAAUUUAUAAUACUAAUUAUUAUAUAUGUAUAUAUUUUUACUAAUUUUUUUGAGGAUAAGCUCAAAAAAAAGUUAAGAUUUUUUUAAUUAAAUUUAUUGUGUAGGCUUAAAAUUGGCCACUACGAAAGUUUUUUAUAAAAUAAUAAUUUUUAGCUAUAUAAAUAAAUAUAAUUUAGACUAACUUCUUAUAAGGAUAAGAGCUUUAAUUAAAAAUAAGCUUUAUGCCUAUGCUAGAAUGAGUAUUAAAACAUAAUUUUUAAAGAAAUUUAAAUAUAUUUUCUUCAUAAAAAAAAUUAAAAAAAAUUAAUUGAUUAGAAGGAACUCGGCAAAUUUAGUUGCUUCGCCUGUUUAUCAAAAACAUGGCUCUUUGGUAUAUAAAUAUAAAGAGUCGAGCCUGCCCAGUGAAUUUUUAACGGCCGCGGUACUUUGACCGUGCAAAGGUAGCAUAAUCAUUUGCCUUAUAAUUGAAGGCUGGUAUGAAUGGUUUGACGAAAGCAGCACUGUCUCCUUUUUAUUUUCAAGAAUUUAACCUUUAGGUGAAGAGGCCUAAAUUUUAUUGAAGGACAAGAAGACCCUGUCGAGCUUAAAAGACAUUAUAGGAUCCUAUAUAUUUUUAAAUAGACUUUUCUAUUUAGCUUUUUAGUUGGGGCGACUAAGGAACAGAAAAAGCUUCUUCUUAGCAAUAAACGAUCAUGUUUAGAUCCGAUAAAUCGAUCAGAGAAAUUAGUUACCGCAGGGAUAACAGCAUAAUCUCUCUUGAGAGACCUAAUCGAAAGAGGGGGUUGUGACCUCGAUGUUGGACUAAAAUAUCCUAAAGAUGCAGAAGUCUUUGAGG
rnacentral:rRNA from 1 species